GUAGCGGUGAAAUGCUUAGAUNUCACGAAGAACUCCGAUUGCGAAGGCAGCUUGCUGGACUGUAACUGACGCUGAGGCACGAAAGCGUGGGGAUCAAACAGGAUUAGAUANCCNUGGUAGNNCACGCCGUAAACGAUGAAUGCUAGCUGUUAGCGAUAUACUGUUAGCGGCACAGAGAAAUCGUUAAGCNUUCCACCUGGGGAGUACGCCGGCAACGGUGAAACUCAAAGGAAUUGACGGGGGCCCGCACAAGCGGAGGAACAUGUGGUUUAAUUCGAUGAUACGCGAGGAACCUUACCUGGGCUUAAAUUGCAGUGGAAUAACGUGGAAACAUGUUAGCCUUCGGGCCGCUGUGAAGGUGCUGCAUGGUUGUCGUCAGCUCGUGCCGUGAGGUGUCGGCUUAAGUGCCAUAACGAGCGCAACCCUCAUCGAUAGUUACUAACAGGUUAAGCUGAGGACUCUAUCGAGACUGCCGACGUAAGUCGUGAGGAAGGUGGGGAUGACGUCAAAUCAGCACGGCCCUUACGUCCAGGGCUACACACGUGUUACAAUGGGGGGUACAAAGGGCAGCUACCUGGCGACAGGAUGCUAAUCUCAAAAACCUCUCUCAGUUCGGAUUGGAGUCUGCAACCCGACUCCAUGAAGCUGGAUUCGCUAGUAAUCGCGCAUCAGCCACGGCGCGGUGAAUACGUUCCCGGGCCUUGUACACACCGCCCGUCAAGCCAUGGGAGCCGGGGGGACCUGAAGUAUGCAACCGUAAGGAGCGUCCUAGGGUAAAACUGGUGACUGGGGCU
rnacentral:rRNA from 1 species